AGAAUCAACGCUGGCGGCGUGCCUAACACAUGCAAGUCGAACGAGAAAGUGGUAGCAAUACCAUGAGUAAAGUGGCGCACGGGUGAGUAACACGUGACUAACCUACCCUUGAGUGGGGGAUAACUGAGGGAAACCUUAGCUAAUACCGCAUAAUACCCACGGGUCAAAGGAGCAAUUCGCUCGAGGAGGGGGUCGCGGCCGAUUAGUUAGUUGGCGGGGUAAUGGCCCACCAAGACGAUGAUCGGUAUCCGGCCUGAGAGGGCGCACGGACACACUGGAACUGAAACACGGUCCAGACUCCUACGGGAGGCAGCAGUGGGGAAUUUGCGCAAUGGGGGAAACCCUGACGCAGCAACGCCGCGUGGAGGAUGAAGUCCUUCGGGACGUAAACUCCUUUCGAUCGGGACGAUUAUGACGGUACCGGAAGAAGAAGCCCCGGCUAACUUCGUGCCAGCAGCCGC
rnacentral:rRNA from 1 species